rnacentral:misc_RNA from 1 species
GAUGAAGAACGUAGCGAAAUGCGAUAAGUAAUGUGAAUUGCAGAAUUCAGUGAAUCAUCGAAUCUUUGAACGCAUAUUGCGCUCUCUGGUAUUCCGGAGAGCAUGCUUGUUUGAGUAUCAGUAAACACCUCAACUUCCAUAUCUUUUUUUGAAAUGGGAGUUGGACUUGAGUGAUCCCAACGCUUUUCCUCACCGAAAAGUGGCGGGUUACUUGAAAUGCAGGUGCAGCUGGACUUUUCUCUGAGCUAUAAGCAUAUCUAUUUAGUCUGCCUAAAAAACAGAUUAUUACCUUUGCUGCAGCUAACAUAAAGGAGAUUAGUUCUUGUGCUGACUGAUGCAGGAUUCACAAAGACAGCUUCGGCCGACUUUGUAAACUCGAUCUCAAAUCAAGUAAGACUACCCGCUGAACUUAAGCAUAUCAAUAAGCGGAGGA